rnacentral:rRNA from 1 species
CCACCCGGUCGAGGGCAUGCCUGCCUGGGCGUCAUGC